ACUUUUGAUCAUGUCAUUAAUUUUUACGUUGACUGUACAUAAACUCUACAAAUAAUUUGCUGUUGACUAUAAAACCACAUCCUUCUUUUUAAUAGACUGGAGAUGUAAUAUUACUGCCUAGUAUCGUAUUUCAAAUUGUUACGUAUAUUGCAUCAUCGUCUAGUCAGGGAAAGUGAAAGGACAAGGUGAAGGUCAGCCUACAUCCUUCGGAACAACUUUUGUUGAGUCACUUCGAUAACACUUAUCGCAAUCGAAAAGACUGCGUGUUGUCUAAUAAAAUAUCGUAUCCGUCGGGUUUUUGCCGCAUAGUUGUUUAUUUUAUAAAACGUACUAAAUUAUUAUUAACAUUAUACUGACUAAUUUAUCGUGUUGUGCGUACGCAUCUUUGGAUCCACGACUGGAAUUAUAAUAACAUAAUUUAUUGGAUAAUUCGUUAAAGAGGCCAAUAUGUUGUAAUAAUUGUUGGGGAAUACCACUAUAUGGUCAGAUAUAACCGGACUGAGAUUGCCAAUAUCUAAGGACAAUUAUUGGGAGAUACCACAUAUAACUACUGUAUGGUUAGAAAUAACCUGAAGGCAUUUUGCACCCCUAAUUUUAAAGGUUUUUUGGUACAGAUAUGUAAUGUGCGAACAGAUUUUGAAAAGUAAAUUUCUGCCUUU